GUCGAACGGGAACGCUCUAAAUCGUCUGGAGGGGAGAGUGGCGAACGGGUGAGUAACACGUAGGUGACCUGCCUCGAAGACGGGGAUAAGUGCUGGAAACGGUAGCUAAUACCCGAUGGUCUCGAUAAUUCGGUUUGUCGAGUAAAGGCUCCGGCGCUUUGAGAGGGACCUGCGGCCCAUCAGCUAGUUGGUAGGGUAACGGCCUACCAAGGCGAAGACGGGUAGGGGGCGUGAGAGCGUGACCCCCCACACUGGCACUGGGACACGGGCCAGACUCCUACGGGAGGCAGCAGUGAGGAAUAUUGCGCAAUGAGCGAAAGCUAGACGCAGCAACGCCGCGUGGGUGAUGAAGGCCUUCGGGUCGUAAAACCCUUUUCUGGGGGAAGAGUAAGGACGGUACCCCAGGAAUAAGCCUCGGCUAACUAUGUGCCAGCAGCCGCGGUAAUACAUAGGAGGCAAGCGUUAUCCGGAUUAACUGGGCGUAAAGAGCGUAGAGGCGGCUUCGUAAGUUGGACGUGAAAGCUCCCGGCUUACCUGGGAGAGGCCGUACAAUACUGCGGGGCUUGA
rnacentral:rRNA from 1 species